rnacentral:rRNA from 1 species
UACGGGGGGGGCAAGCGUUGUUCGGAAUUACUGGGCGUAAAGGGCUCGUAGGCGGUUUGUUGCGUCGGCUGUGAAAUCCCGAGGCUCAACCUCGGGUCUGCAGUCGAUACGAGCAAACUAGAGUGUUGCAGGGGAGACUGGAAUUCCUGGUGUAGCGGUGAAAUGCGCAGAUAUCAGGAGGAACACCGAUGGCGAAGGCAGCUCGCUGGGACGGUACUGACGCUGAGGCGCGAAAGCGUGGGGAGCAAACAGG